UCCUUGGUGGCUCAGACAGUAAAGAAUCUGUCUGCAAUACAGGAGACCCAAGUUCAAUCCUUGGGUCAGGAA
rnacentral:tRNA from 1 species